GCGCUAGAGCAGGGCUAGCGAGUGGAGGUGGAGUGGGGCGCUUGAAUGAUGCGGGCAGGCCGUUAAAACGCUGCUAUCUCUCUGAUCAGGACCACAUUGGCCACGGCUGGGAUGUGGGUGGCACCAUGAGUGUGAAAGCUUUUGAGCUGGUUGCCGCCGUGGUGCGGGAGCAGUUGAUGGGCGAAAAGGUGCGCGUUAACAUUGAAUGCAUCGAGUGCUGCGGCAAACACCUGUACCUGGGAACCAAUGACUGCUUCAUCCAUCACUUCCUACUAGAGGAGCACACAACAGCCAAUGGUAAGCUGGCCUACAAUGCCCAGAAACUUCUGCACAAAUACCUGGGUCUGAAGAAGCCGGUGGUGGAGCUAAAGGCGGCCUCUGCUUUGGAACGGCUAAUUGUCCUCUGUGAUUCAACCAUCAUUGUUGUGGAUAUGGUUACCCUAGAGCCUGUGCCCACUGGGGGCACUAAGCUUAAAGGUGUGACUUCGUUUUGUAUUAACGAGAACCCUGUGACUGGAGACCCAUUCUGCGUGGAAAUGGCAGUGGUGUCGGCACGCAGACGGGCGGUCCAGAUCUGUACGCUCCACGAGGACCGGGUGCAGAUGUUAAAGGAAGUGACCACACCAGAGCAGCCCUGUACCUUGAGCCUGGAUGGGUACUUUAUCUGCAUGGCCCUUCCCACACGAUAUAUGAUUCUGAACUACAGCACAGGAGCCUCUCAGGACCUGUUUCCUUACGACUGUGAAGAGAGGAAACCCAUCGUCAAGAGGAUCAGCCGGGAAGAGUUUCUCCUGGCUGCCCCAGGCGGGCUUGGAAUGUUUGCUAACGCAGAGGGCAUAUCUCAGCGUGCCCCGGUGAGUUGGUCCGAGAGCGUGAUUGCGGCGGCUGUGUGUUUUCCGUAUGUGGUUGCGUUGGAUGAAGGUUUUGUGACCAUUCACAGCAUGUUGGACCAGCAGCUCAAACAGACACUGUCCUUUAGAGAUGGACAACUCCUGCAGGAUUUUGAAGGUAAGGUGGUGUUGGCCUCUACUAAGGCAGUGUAUAUGUUGGUGCCUCUCCCUCUGGAGCGUCAGAUCCAAGACCUCUUAGCAAGCCAUCGAGUCGAAGAGGCGCUGACGCUCACAGAAGCUGCACAGAGAAAUAUUCCCAAAGAAAAGUAUCAGAAAUUGCACAAAAGAAUUCUCCAACAAGCAGGAUUCAUCCAGUUUGGCCAGCUUGAGUUUUUAGAAGCAAAAGAACAUUUUAGAAAGGGUCAGCUGGAUGUACGGGAGCUGAUCUCCCUUUAUCCACUGCUCCUGCCCGCCUCUUCCUCCUUCACACGGUGCCAUCCACCACUUCACGAAUUUGCUGACCUGAACCAUCUGACGCAGGGAAACCAGGAGAAAGUACAGCAUUUCAAACGUUUCCUCAUUAGCUACCUGCACGAGGUGCGCAGCAGCGACAGUGCUAAUGGUUUCCGUGAAGAUGUGGACACGGCGUUGCUGAAGCUUUACGCAGAGACCGGCCACGAAAGUCUUCUGGAUUUGCUGGCCUCUGACAACGCCUGCCUCCUGGCAGACUGUGCCCCCUGGCUGGAGAAACAUCACAAGUAUUUUGCUCUUGGGCUUCUAUAUCACUACAAUGGUCAAGAUUCUGCUGCUUUACAGAUGUGGGUUAAGAUUGUCAACGGGGAUCUCCUGGACUCAACAAGACAAGAUCUGUUUGAAUAUGUUGUGGACUUUCUUAGUUUCUGUUCCAACCUUGACCUUGUGUGGCAGCAUGCAGACUGGGCAUUACAGAAAGAUCAAAAGAUUGGUGUACAGAUCUUCACCAAAAGGCCAAUCUCUGAGGAAAAGAGGGGGCAGUUAAACCCAGAUGAUGUUGUUACGUAUUUGCAGAAGCACAAUCAAGGUCUUCUGCUCUACCUGGAACACCUGGUACUGGAGAAGAGAUUGCAAAAAGAGAAGUAUCACACACAUCUGGCUGUGCUGUAUGCAGACAGAGUGCUGAGCCUUAUCUCACGACCAUCAGCCACUGAGGAGCAACUGUCUGCUGCCCGCCAGAAACUACAACGGUUACUGAAAGAGUCCAGUCUGUAUAAAGUCCAGUUACUACUAGGUAAACUUCAGGACUCUGAGUUGCUGCUACUUGAGCGAGCUACACUACAUGGGAAGUUAGAGGAACAUGACAAGGCCUUACACAUUCUAGUGCACCAGCUCAAAGACUCCCCUGCUGCGGAGGAAUACUGCUCCUGGGCCUCUGCGUGUCAGGACCAGGCCUACCGUCAGAACCUUUUCCACCAACUCUUGAGUGUUUAUCUGGACCCGGAUGUACCAGGAGGGGCUCAAACCGUAGCCGCCGUUGACUUGCUUAACCAGCAUGCUGACGUUUUCGACGCGGUGUUGGUUUUAAAGCUCCUCCCAGAGGAGUGGUCUUUGCCGCUGCUCCGUCCUUUCCUGUGUGGGGCAGUAAGGGCAAGUGUGCAUGCACGUUGCACUUCACAGGUUGCAGUGGGGCUGGCACGAGCAGAAAACCUCCAGCUUCAGCAUGACCGGCUGAAGUAUCGAGGAGGCCCAAUAUUAGUAUCUGAAAAUAAGGGAUGCCGGCUGUGCCACAAUACCUUUAGCGAGCCAGACUGCGCCUGCCUGCCCGGCGGAACGCCUGUCCAUAUUCACUGUGUCGCCAAGAAAGCCCUGGACUUGCCAGUAGAGCGGCAAAAUGAAAACGCCCACCACAGCAACCACACAUGAAGCUGAUCAGUACUGUGUCGGACAGUCAACAGAUGCUGUUUUGCAGCACACAUGCAUGGAGUGAGGGCUGAGUGCAUAGGGCACCCGUUCAAAGCCCAUACAUGCUCGUUCGCAGCGAGCAAGACCCUGCUAUACAAAUCAAGUUUCCUGUGUGACGGAGCUAGCCAGUGACUGAGUGUGCGAGUGUUUGAGAACUGUUUAUUCCAUUGUCCCUCUGUGUGUACAUGCAACACUGUCAAUGAAUACGAGAGAUUGAACAUUUUAAUGAACGUCAAACAAAAAGUUAUAGAUCCAAAAAAACAUCAACAUUGUCUCUUGGUUUAUCUCUUUAGCAUUGCUUUAUGACGGCUGAUUCAGAGGCCCUUUUGAAAUUAAUUUGCUUUUAAAUAUAUAAAUGCAUUGUAAAUGUUUUAAAACUCAAAAUCAGUGGACACUUAUUGCAGCUGAAGUGCAGUCCAUGCUUACAAUUUAACGGUUGUUUACAAACCAUUAGCAUGGUUGAGGUCAAAAUCCUUAUAUUUCAGUGUCCUGACCAUCUCUUCCCAAGAAAGCAGAAUUGUUAAAAAGGUGUGUAUGCUAUGUGUUAACAAACACCAAAGUUCAUUUCUCUUUGCUCCGAGAGUGACAGUUACAGCCUUACAUCAUUGCUUACACCCUCUGUCCUGGUCCAUUAAAUACUUGAUGGGACAAAAUGCUGAUUUAAUUAUGAAUAUGAUUGUCAUCAUAAUAACUGGCUUUAACCGUUUAGUCGCAGACAUUUAAACCGGAUAAAAGGGAAGAUUUUCGAAACUGUUCCUUGUUCAUCUAGCUACAGCCAAAUCGGAGAAGACUGCUUUGCUAUUUAAAGUUACAUCGCAGUGAUAUGGAGAAGAGUAAACAACCCAACAGGGUGUAUUUCUCCAUUGUCCCGAGCUGGAGGGGUGAUUCGGCUUAAUAUUUCCCUCUGAAGUUUGGUUUAGGAUGCAAAGUGAUCUUAAAUGAAUAUUCCGGGUUCAGUACAAUCCGUGGUAUUUAUUGCAUAAUGUUGAUACCCACAAAACAUUGUUUUGACUCUUUUCUUAAAACCAAAAAUCGAAGAUAAUAUGAGGGGCUUACAAAUGGAAUUUAAGUCAUUUUCGGAUUAACACCAUUGCGUUGUCAUGUCAAUGAAGUUGUAAAAUUGGAUAUAACUUACAGGCUAUAAUGUUAACACACAUGUUCAUCGUCCAUUUCCAUUGUUAGUGCAUUACUGUAACAAUAAUAAUAAGAGGGACAAGUUGAAAUUAAUUUAUUGGUAAUCAACAUGCAUCAAAUGCUGUUGAUUGAGCUUAACAUGUACUGAACCGGGACUAUACAGUAUCUCAUUAUUCUUAUAAAGAUCUUAUAAUAUAAAGAAUAUUUUAAGCAUAUCAUUAACCAUUUUAAACUAAUCAAUGGACUCCGGCUGUGCUGUGCUUGUUAAACAUGAUAGAACAAAAAGCUAAAAUUGAUUAUUACAUCACUACCGUUUUGUUUCUCAAAUGCAUUUGGUGUGGGCAUGUGUCCUCAUGUCUUAAGAGUGCUUAAGCUGUGAUAAAAAAAAAAGAGCACAAUAAACACUGCCUACUAAAUCAAUACUAAAGUGACCUCGGCUACGUAGGACCAGAACCGUAGGAUAAGCAGUCGCCUACAACAUGAGUCUAACAUCAUUAGUGAUCAUUAGUUAUAAGGAUGAUGAAACCGUAAAAACAAAAAUAAGAAACACUUUGGGUAUUGUACAUAAUCCCCUGGUUUAUAGACCCUGAACAAGUGCAUAGCCUCAAGAGGCGCACUAGCGACUGACACUACAGGCUGUAGCCUUUAGCCGCCUCAUUAGCACACCUGCUUCCCAUGCUGGAGACCCUGGUUCGAAUCCCGCUUGAAGUGGUUUGAGCAGGACUGGUAACAGUGGUGCCAUGAGGCGCACUAGUGACUGACACUAGAGGCUGUAACCUUUAGCAUCCUGGUUAGCGUGCCCCCGGUUUGAAUCCCGCUCAAAGCGGGUCGAGCCUGUGACAGUGGUGCCGUGACCCGGAUGGGAGUGAGUGUAAUGGUAGCCAGCUGGUAGGUAGCUAUGUAGUGUGUAAGCCUCACUCCCCUGGCCUCAAGAGGCGCACUAGCGACUGAUGCUA